GCAGGUUUCACUGUCUGGCUGCCUUGUGUGUCUGCACAGGAGCGGAAGCCAUGAGCAGCUCAGACCUCCAGCGUGCAGCGUGUGGAGCUGCUGCUCGUCCAGAGUGUGUUUACUCUGACAGGUUCCCUUUGCCAACUUCUCAUGACGGCCUAUUGGGUGUCCAGCCUCUGGUCAGCACACAGGGACACGCUGCAAACACUCCAGCCAAACCUGCCAUGCACACAUCUGGAUGCUGCUGCAUGGAAUUCUGUCUUCUCAGGGAGGCGAGGAACAGAGGCCAGGACCAUAUGCUGCGAUAUUUCCUUCUCUAAAACCCCUGGGGUCCAGGUGUUUGCAGCAGAUCCUUUAAGUCCUGUGAGAUGUGAUGUGAGGCCUCCGUGGAUCAGAUGUUUGUCCAGCACAUCCCACAGACGCUCGAUGCGAUUGAGAUCUGGUGACUGUGGAUCCAACUCAACACCUCACA